rnacentral:pre_miRNA from 1 species
GAGACACCCCUAUGGAGCGGGACUUGAUUCAGCGGGGCUUUGAUGCUCACUGAGUCUUCCCCUUGAGUGUGCCACU